rnacentral:rRNA from 1 species
GUGCCAGCAGCCGCGGUAAUACCAGCCCCGCGAGUGGUCGGGACGUUUACUGGGCCUAAAGCGCCCGUAGCCGGCCCGGUAAGUCCCUCCUGAAAGCCCUGGGCUCAACCCAGGGAGUGGGGGGGAUACUGCCGGGCUAGGGGGCGGGAGAGGCCGGGGGUACCCCAGGGGUAGGGGCGAAAUCCGAUAAUCCCUGGGGGACCACCAGUGGCGAAAGCGCCCGGCUGGAACGCGCCCGACGGUGAGGGGCGAAAGCCGGGGGAGCGAACCGGAUUAGAUACCCGGGUAGUCCCGGCUGUAAACGAUGCGGGCUAGGUGUCGGGCGGGCGUUAGAGCCCGCCCGGUGCCGCAGGGAAGCCGUUAAGCCCGCCGCCUGGGGAGUACGGCCGCAAGGCUGAAACUUUAAGGAAUUGGCGGGGGGGCACACAAGGGGUGGAGCCUGCGGCUCAAUUGGAGUCAACGCCGGGAACCUCACCGGGGGCGACAGCAGGAUGACGGCCAGGCUAAUGACCUUGCCCGACGCGCUGAGGGGAGGUGCAUGGCCGUCGCCAGCUCGUGCUGUGAAGUGUCCUGUUAAGUCAGGCAACGAGCGAGACCCCCGCCCCUAGUUGCGACCUCGCGGGCGACCGCGGGGGCACACUAGGGGGACUGCCGCCGCUAAGGCGGAGGAAGGAGGGGGCCACGGCAGGUCAGCAUGCCCCUAAACCCCCGGGCUGCACGCGGGCUACAAUGGCGGGGACAGCGGGAUCCGACCCCGAAAGGGGGAGGCAAUCCCUCAAACCCCGCCGUAGUCGGGAUUGGGGGCUGCAACUCGCCCCCAUGAACCUGGAAUCCCUAGUAACCGCGCGUCAACAUCGCGCGGUGAAUACGUCCCUGCCCCUUGUACACACCGCCCGUC